GCCCUCGUGGUCCAACGGAAAGGACACCGGCCUUCGAAGCCGGCGGGUGCAGGUUCGACUCCUGCCGAGGGUG
rnacentral:tRNA from 1 species